GUGUGGUGUGUGUGUGUGUGUGUGUGUGUGUGUGAGAGAGAGCGUUUGUGAUUCUCAGAGAGGUGUGUGUGUGUGUGAUAGAGAGCGUUUGUGUGUCACAGAGAGGUGUGUGUGUGUGUGUGUGUGUGUGAUAGAGAGCGUUUGUGUUUCACAGAGAGGUGUGUGUGUGUGUGUGUGUGAUAGAGAGCGUUUGUGUUUCACAGAGAGGUGUGUGUGAGAGAGAGUUUGUGUUUCACAGAGAGGUGUGUGUGAGAAAGAGUUUGUGUUUCACAGAGAGGUGUGUGUGAGAAAGAGUUUGUGUUUCACAGAGAGGUGUGUGUGAGAAAGAGUUUGUGUUUCACAGAGAGGUGUGUGUGAGGCUGUCCCUCCUAUCCUCAUCUCAGUCAGUCUCAUACUUCUCUGAGAGCGAGAGAGACAGAGUGUGUGUGUGUGUGUUUGUGAGAGGACAUCACACCAGUUAUGUUGUGUUGUCUCUCUUGUCGUGAUGUGUGUUUUGUCCUGUAUUUUUAUGUUAUUUAUUUAUUAUCUCAGGCCCCCGUCCCCGCAGGAGGCCUUUUGCCUUUUGGUAGGCCGUCAUUGUAAUUAAGAAUUUAUUCUUAACUGACUUACCUAG